rnacentral:rRNA from 1 species
UACGGGGGGGGCUAGCGUUGUUCGGAAUUACUGGGCGUAAAGGGCGCGUAGGCGGCGUGUCAAGUCAGGCGUGAAAGCCCCGGGCUCAACCUGGGAACCGCGCUUGAGACUGGCAUGCUCGAGUUCGGGAGAGGAUGGUGGAAUUCCCAGUGUAGAGGUGAAAUUCGUAGAUAUUGGGAAGAACACCGAUGGCGAAGGCAGCCAUCUGGACCGACACUGACGCUGAGGUGCGAAAGCGUGGGGAGCAAACAGG